GUAAAAMAUUUAUUUACACCAACAAGCGCCAGGGAAUUACGAGCAUAUGCUUAAAAUCCAAAGGAUUUGACGGUGUCCCACCCACCUAGAGGAGCCUGUUCUAUAAUCGAUAAUCCUCGAUAUACCCAACCAUUUCUUGCUUUUCAGCCUGUAUACCUCCGUCGCAAGCUUACCAUUUGAAUGUAAAAGAGUAGGUUUAAGGAUUCCCCAUCAAUACGUCAGGUCAAGGUGCAGCCAAUGUAAUGGAAAGUAAUGGGCUACAAUUUCUAUAAUAGAACAAACGAAACACUGCAUGAAAAACAGUCAUGAAGGCGGAUUUAGUAGUAAAAGGAGAAUAGAGAGCUCCUUUUAACAAGGCCCUGGGACGUGUACAAACCGCCCGUCACCCUCUUCAGCGGCAUAAAAUUUAAGUUUUUAACCCAACAAAAGAAAUCAGAAGAGGCAAGUCGUAACAUGGUAAGUGUACUGGAAAGUGCACUUGGUUAAC
rnacentral:rRNA from 1 species